rnacentral:rRNA from 1 species
UACGUAGGGUGCAAGCGUUAAUCGGAAUCACUGGGCGUAAAGCGCGCGUAGGCGGCUUUUUAAGUCAGAGGUGAAAUCCUGGAGCUCAACUCCAGAACUGCCUUUGAUACUGAGAGGCUUGAGUCCGGGAGAGGUGAGUGGAACUGCGAGUGUAGAGGUGAAAUUCGUAGAUAUUCGCAAGAACACCAGUGGCGAAGGCGGCUCACUGGCCCGGUACUGACGCUGAGGUGCGAAAGCGUGGGGAGCAAACAGG